AGUGAACGCUGGCGGUAGGCCUAACACAUGCAAGUCGAACGGCAGCACAGUAAGAGCUUGCUCUUACGGGUGGCGAGUGGCGGACGGGUGAGGAAUACAUCGGAAUCUACUUUUUCGUGGGGGAUAACGUAGGGAAACUUACGCUAAUACCGCAUACGACCUACGGGUGAAAGCAGGGGAUCUUCGGACCUUGCGCGAUUGUAUGAGCCGAUGUCGGAUUAGCUAGUUGGCGGGGUAAGGGCCCACCAAGGCGACGAUCCGUAGCUGGUCUGAGAGGAUGAUCAGCCACACUGGAACUGAGACACGGUCCAGACUCCUACGGGAGGCAGCAGUGGGGAAUAUUGGACAAUGGGCGCAAGCCUGAUCCAGCCAUACCGCGUGGGUGAAGAAGGCCUUCGGGUUGUAAAGCCCUUUUGUUGGGAAAGAAAAGCAGCAGGUUAAUACCCCGCUGUUCUGACGGUACCCAAAGAAUAAGCACCGGCUAACUUCGUG
rnacentral:rRNA from 1 species